UUAUUAUAAUGCGUGGAAAUGCCCCUAAUAAGGGCAUACUCUAUAAAACUCUAAACUUACUGUCUGAGAAGGCCACGUGCCGUAAUCUUUAAACAUUUUAAAACUUUCAACAACGGAUCUCUUGGUUCUCGCAUCGAUGAAGAACGCAGCGAAAUGCGAUAAGUAAUGUGAAUUGCAGAAUUCAGUGAAUCAUCGAAUCUUUGAACGCACAUUGCGCCCUUUGGUAUUCCAUAGGGCAUGCCUGUUCGAGCGUCACUAACAACCCCAUCAUACAAGAGUGUGGUAUUGGCAGAAGUGGGUAGGGCUAGCAGUGCUGGUCCCACUCUGCUUGAAUGAAUAGGCCGGAAAUGCAGACCAUGGCAACAAACUUUCAAAGUAUUUUGAAAUGCUAAAUUAGUUUGGAGCUGGUCAGAAUCCAGGCCAUUGGACCCCCAUUCUGUGUAAAGCAGUAAUGUUGACCUCGGAUCAGG
rnacentral:rRNA from 1 species